rnacentral:tRNA from 1 species
UUUUAAUAGCUUAUAAUAAAGUAUAAUAUUGAAGAUAUUAUGAAGAUAGUUUUAUCUUAAAAUAU